GGGGAUGUAGCUCAGUGGUAGAGCGCAUGCUUUGCAUGUAUGAAGUCCCGGGUUCAAUCCCCGGCAUCUCCA
rnacentral:tRNA from 1 species